GAUGAACGCUGGCGGCGUGCCUAAUACAUGCAAGUCGAGCGAACGGACGAGAAGCUUGCUUCUCUGAUGUUAGCGGCGGACGGGUGAGUAACACGUGGAUAACCUACCUAUAAGACUGGGAUAACUUCGGGAAACCGGAGCUAAUACCGGAUAAUAUUUUGAACCGCAUGGUUCAAAAGUGAAAGACGGUCUUUCUGUCACUUAUAGAUGGAUCCGCGCUGCAUUAGCUAGUUGGUAAGGUAACGGCUUACAAAGGCAACGAUGCAUAGCCGACCUGAGAGGGUGAUCGGCCACACUGGAACUGAGACACGGUCCAGACUCCUACGGGAGGCAGCAGUAGGGAAUCUUCCGCAAUGGGCGAAAGCCUGACGGAGCAACGCCGCGUGAGUGAUGAAGGUCUUCGGAUCGUAAAACUCUGUAAUUAGGGAAGAACAUAUGUGUAAGUAACUGUGCACAUCUUGACGGUACCUAAUCAGAAAGCCACGGCUAACUACGUG
rnacentral:rRNA from 1 species